CGCACCGUGGUGUACGGAACACACGUUGGAUUGUUGGCGGGAUAAGCAACGUGAAUAUCUGACAGGACUGGGUUCGACUCCCAGCGGUGCCA